UUGGAUUCAUUAGCCGAGUUUGAACUCGUCCGGAUUAAUAUUGGGCUGCAAAGGCUCUCAAAGGGGAGAGAGCCGCCCUGAGCCCCUCUCUGUCUCCGCGAGCCUUUGGGAAGGAAAGGGGUUUCCAUCGCUUGCCCUUGCAAGGAGGCGAAGCGAGAAGCAGGAAGAGACAGGCAGCAAGCCCAGCCGGCUGGAGGCAGGGCUCACCUCGGCUUCACCUUCUAACCUUCCCCGCUCCACCCGCAGCGCACCAGCCUCGGGCGGCUGCUGCUGCUACUAGUACGCGAGUGCCAAGAGCCUGACUCAGGGUUGGCUUCAGGCUGAGCAGGAAUGGGCGGGGGCGGGCCUGCCGCUGAGCACUCUGGGAAGGUUCUUUUAUUUUGGCGGCGGCGGCGUGAGGCAAAUUGGCGUAGAAGCUGGGCCUGUAGCAGCCGGUUGAGUCGGACGUGUUGUGACUCCUGGCUUAUAAUAAGAAGCCACGCACUCUCCUUUUAAAGGUCUCCCGGUUUUAGCCAUGCUUAUCGAGCAUCGCUUGCCCUUGCCAGGUGGUGAAGAGAAGCGGGAAGAGGCAGGCAGCAAGUACAGCUUUUUCCAAGGAGUGCGCGAAUCAGGUCCAUGGUGUACCCUAAGUGGUGGUGAACAUCCGAGACUCAUUCACACGUUAUGUUCAACACUCGUACAAUGAGUGUUCAGUGUGUGCAGCUAUACAUCUGUACACAGAACAGGCAUAUGAUAUAGAUGCAGGUUCUGGCCAGACUGGGGAAGGAGCCGCUUGUAGCCCAGUUACCUGAUGUUUCUGAGUGAAGACUGUUGAUCUUGCUGCAUGGGCUCCAUUGCAAUAGAUGGUUCUUUAUCAAGUAACAGAUUUGUGACGACACCAGUGGUUGCUCAUAUGUAACAUUUUGAUCCUGUCUCACUCAUUGCUGCAAAACUGUGCAUAUAUAUGGAAGGAAAGAUGAAGAGUUGAUUGAAAAGGAGAAUGUGGCAGAGUGGCUGAAAUGAGCAAGAGUAAGGUGUGUGGAGUGAAUGAGAGUUUUGCCACAAAAUUGGCUUUAAAAGCAAGCAAGCAACCAACAUUACUGUGAUGAAGAAAUAAAAAUGUUGCUGUGAUGUAAAAAGAGGGCUGGAAUAAUAAAGUGAUGAUUAAAGAAAAGGUUUGUCCCAAUGAAUCAAAAUAAGAUUUAUACCUCUUUAAUGAGACAAUGAGGUUCAUUCAUUCAUUUGAUUUCUA